AGAGCGAACGCUGGCGGCAGGCCUAACACAUGCAAGUCGAGCGCGUGUAGCAAUACACGAGCGGCAGACGGGAGAGUAACACGUGGGAACGCGCCCUUCGGUUCGGAAUAACUCAGGGAAACUUGGGCUAAUACCGGAUACGCCCUUACGGGGAAAGAUUUAUUGCCGAAGGAACGGCCCGCGUCCGAUUAGCUUGUUGGUGAGGUAACGGCUCACCAAGGCGACGAUCGGUAGCUGGUCUGAGAGGAUGACCAGCCUCACUGGGACUGAGACACGGCCCAGACUCCUACGGGAGGCAGCAGUGGGGAAUAUUGGACAAUGGGCGCAAGCCUGAUCCAGCCAUGCCGCGUGGGUGAUGAAGGCCCUAGGGUUGUAAAGCCCUUUCGGCGGGAAGAUAAUGACGGUACCGCAGAAGAAGCCCGGCUAACUUCGUGCCAGCAGCCGC
rnacentral:rRNA from 1 species